rnacentral:rRNA from 1 species
GGGCAGCAUGGUCUUAGCUUGCUAAGGCUGAUGGCGACCGGCGCACGGGUGAGUAACACGUAUCCAACCUGCCGUCUACUCUUGGCCAGCCUUCUGAAAGGAAGAUUAAUCCAGGAUGGCAUCAUGAGUUCACAUGUCCGCAUGAUUAAAGGUAUUUUCCGGUAGACGAUGGGGAUGCGUUCCAUUAGAUAGUAGGCGGGGUAACGGCCCACCUAGUCAACGAUGGAUAGGGGUUCUGAGAGGAAGGUCCCCCACAUUGGAACUGAGACACGGUCCAAACUCCUACGGGAGGCAGCAGUGAGGAAUAUUGGUCAAUGGGCGAUGGCCUGAACCAGCCAAGUAGCGUGAAGGAUGACUGCCCUAUGGGUUGUAAACUUCUUUUAUAAAGGAAUAAAGUCGGGUAUGCAUACCCGUUUGCAUGUACUUUAUGAAUAAGGAUCGGCUAACUCCGUGCCAGCAGCCGCGGUAAUACGGAGGAUCCGAGCGUUAUCCGGAUUUAUUGGGUUUAAAGGGAGCGUAGAUAGAUGUUUAAGUCAGUUGUGAAAGUUUGCGGCUCAACCGUAAAAUUGCAGUUGAUACUGGAUGUCUUGAGUGCAGUUGAGGCAGGCGGAAUUCGUGGUGUAGCGGUGAAAUGCUUAGAUAUCACGAAGAACUCCGAUUGCGAAGGCAGCCUGCUAAGCUG